UCCCUCGGGCGGCGCCGGGGAGGCGCUGAGCUGCGCGGAUGGAGUAGGGGCGGGCGAGGGUUUCCUCCCAGGCAGGGUGGGCUCUGAAGGGCCCGGCCCGGAGGUUCCUGAGGGCCGCGAGGGCGGGGUGUGUGUGCGCGCACGGACGCGCAGGAGGCUGGGGAGAAGUGUUAAGGAAGAGGGCGGAGAGGAGCCUGGGGUCGCGGUCUCCUGAGACGUGGGUUCGAGUCCCAGCUGUGCACACGCAGGCAGCGUGACCUUGCCCCCCCCCCACAUCGACCCCACACCCCCGCCGUGUGCCUGCCAGCCUGUUUCCCCAGGGGUGAAGGAGGAGCGAGCACUUGUUACUUUGUGCCAUCUGUGUGCGAGUACCCUAGGAGUUUUGUCUUCGCAGUUCCCUCAAAACGACCCGAAAUAGGCGGGUGCUGGCUUCACCCCCAUUUUAGAGGAGGAGGCCCAGCCACUCUGGUGAUGUGAAAGAGGGUCUUGGUGCAACACAUUUCUGUAAUGGCCAAUACUACUGAAUUCCCACGGGUGGCUCAUCGAGCAUGUGGAUCUUCUUGGGAGAAAUGUCUACCCAGGUCUUUUCCUCAUGUUAAAAUUGAGAGGAUUUAUUUAUUUGAAAGUCUGAGUUACACAGAGAGAGGAGAGGCAGAGAGAGAAGUCUUCCAUCUGAUGGUUCACUCCUCAAAUGACUGCAACAGCCAGAGCUGCACCGAUUGGAAGCCAAUAGCCAGGAACUUCUUUGCGUCUUUCAUGUGGUUGCAGAGGCCCAAGGACCUGGACCAUCUUCUACUGCUUCCCAGGCUAUAGCAGAGAGCUGGAUAGGGAGUGGAGCAGCCGGCUUUCAAACCGGCGCCCAUAUGGGAUGCCGAUGCUUCAGGCCAGGGCGUUAACCCGCUGCGCCACAGUGCUGGCCCCUCUGAUAUCUUAUCUAAGAAAUCUUUGCCUAACCCAAGAUCAUUAAAAUUGACUCCUAUA